AGUAAAAUCAUAUGGAAACAACAUACACAGGCAUUUCUUAAUUUCGUUUUAAAUUGUUUUGAAUAUUACCCUGUGUAUUUUUUUAUCUUUGCUGUAAGCGAUAAUUUUUCUGAGACUCCCCAAAUGACCAGGAAAAAAAUCUGUAUUUACGGCUUUGACGACGUAAAAAGGAUAUAUAUCAGCAAGUGAAAAGUGGGUAAUCAUGUCAGCCCAUGGUGGGGAGAUAAGAGAGGGGUUUUUGUGCCCCAUGUGUAUGAAAGAUCUAGGAACUGUAAGUCAGUUACAGUCCCACUUUGAGGAGGCACAUAGCACAGAGGACAAAGCAACUCUAACCAACUCAGAGGCUUGUUUGACAGAGCAAAGAAAAAGUUUCUGGGUGAUAAAGAAGAUGAUUUGUCAGAUAGCAUAAAAGCUAGUAGUAGUGUUUCUAUUACACAGUCAACAAGUCUGUAUGAUGUAGAUUACUGGCAACCACAAGAUACAGGGAAGACACGUAGUUGGACUGAUUUUUUCCGAGGUAUACGAGAUGCGCGAGUGGACAAGUAUGUUGUAGAAAACAAACAAGAUAUUGAUACGAUUAGACAAACUAAUCAGUUCCGACAUCCCAACUGAUUCUGGCAAAAGAAAAGCCUUUGAGAAGACAGUUGUUAUGUGGUUGCCAGAUAGUGAGAGCAAAAAGUUGUAGAUAUUGUGGCCGAUCAUUUAACUUGACUCGACGUCGACAUCAUUGCAGACUUUGUGGGGAUCAUGUGUGACAGGUGCUCGCAUUUCCUUACACACGAUUAUGCAAGUAAGUUUUCUUUAUGUACCUGCAGGAUUGCCUAGCUUGUUUUAACAUUAUUUAUUACAUGUAUCCAAAAAGACGGAUUUUGUUUCGAUUUUUUUUCGUUCAAUAAUUUGAUUUCCUUUGAUUUUGAACAAGUGUAUUAUGAAUGGUUAUUCAAAUAAUGUAUAAAAUUUUAUAGAAUUUGUUUGCAUCAGCCUGUGUUUGAGUGCAAUGUAUGAACACUAUUUAGAAAGGAAUGUUUACAUACGAAAUGUUGACAGAUGUGGCACAAAUAGACUUAAAUAACCAUCAGUAUAUUAAUUGAGCACUGAAUUUAGUUCAGCAUUAUUUUACAUACACACAUAAAGAGAGUUUUUACGACAUGACGGGACUCGAACAAAGUGUUCCAAGAUUUUCGCGCCAAAAGAUAUAGGUCUAUACCAAUGACUUUUGUGCACAAAUUUCAGAUUAUUCUCUGACUAUUUUUCCAGAAUAUUUUUUCUUAUU